CAGGAGACAGUUCUCGCUUUCUGGUCUGGCUCGGGAGACUCGAGAGGGGGUCCAUCUUUGGCCAUAAGUGGUGAGUUCUGUCCAGCAUCAGGGUUUGGAUGGUGGCUUUAGACUCUCCAAAGAUCA